GGAGCUGGGAUUGACAUGUGAAACAAGAUUGUUUCUAACCUAAAUAAAAAAAUAACAUAAUAGUUAAAAAAUGUUCAUUGUUAAUUGUACCUCUCCACCACCCUAGGCUACUUCUCCAGCACCAUGUCUGCCUGCAUGAUGCCAUGUCUUGCCAUGAUGAUGAUGGACUAAAUCUCUGUAAGCCACCCUAAUUAAAUGUUUUUCUCUAUGAGCUGCUGUGGUCAUGGCAUCUCUUCACAGCAGCAGACACCUGAUCUUAACUAAUGAUAUUUGCAAUGACUUUUUAUCAAAGAAAAGAUAUGCACUGAGGUACCGAGACUCAGGACUUCACUACAUGAAUCUUGAUCUCACACUAAGAGGACCUCUGCUACAGAUGCUGCAAGGCUGGCUUGCAGUGGAAAAUGGUGGGCACCUUGAAAAUAUGACCACAGGGGGUCAGUCAUGUGCUGUGUUCUCCAAAGAAGUAAUGCUGAGCUCUUCAAUACAGCAUCAAGCCACAAAUUUCCUGUUCGGAGCUAGGAGCACAUCAAUGUUUCCUCAGUGGGCUCGUGACCAAGUGCCUAUGCAGUAGGGAUUGAGUCCAGUGUAAUUGUGAGGAUUGCUACAGUCAGCUUGUUACCUGGAGACAAACCUUUGGGCAAGUCUAUGAGGGAGUUUCCAGAUUGGGUUAAUCAAAGUAAGGAGAGCCACUCUACAUGCGGGAAGCACCGAGUCCUGAAUGCAAGUGUCUCCACUCCUGUACCUUCAAAUUGACCUAGAUAGAGACUUGUGUCACCCUGGGUCUUUCCACAUCAAUGAACAUAGUCAAGACAGCCCCUCUCCCCAGCCAUUCACAAGCUACCUGGUCUGGACAAUCCUUCUUUGGGAGUCUCUUCUCAUCACACUCACUGUAUGAAUGCCACACUCUUGAGCAGUGGUUCUUAACCUGUGGGUUGUGACCCCUCGAGGAGUCGUACGACCCUUUCACCUAAGACCAUCGGAAAACACGGAUAUUUAUAUUUCGAUUCUUAGCAAUAGCAAAACUACAGUUGUGAAGUAGAAAUGAAAAUAAUUUCAUGGUUGGGGGUCCAUCACAAUAUGAGGAACUCUAUUAAAGGGUUGCAGCAUUAGGAAGGUUGAGAACCACUGCACUAAUGUUGGGUUAUGGUGGUGCCACACUUCCUUUAUGUAUUACUUAGGGCAAGUACUGAGCUGUCAAGAGAAUACAAAAUCUCUGGCUUAAAUCUAACAGACAUUUAUUUCUUACCAGCACAGAACUGGUCAGCAGGUUCUGUCCCAUGAAAUCAUUCAGGACCCAUAUGACUGAAGACAUUGUGACCAGGCAGUCCCAUGGCUUUAGAAACAGAAAAAUCAGGAAUGUAUAAUUGUCUUUCAGAGGAUGAACUGGCAGAUUAUCUAUGCCAAUUCCAUCCACUUCUGUUUGGUGAAAACCAAAAUAUAUAAGUUUGCCUAGCUUCAAUGAAACUUCAGGCAGGCUAGCCUCAGCCUGAAAAUGAUGAGCAUGAUUUUGAGAGGAUAUAACCAAUGAUGUCUCAUGUCACUAUAUUCUGUUCUGUAAUAACUGUGCAGUAUGUGACAAUAAAUAUGCUAUAAUUUUCAAUCUCUUUUAUUUUUACAUUUUAGGUAGCUUCUAAUUUUUCUUGUUUUCAGUCUUCUUAGUAUGUUGUUACACACUAUGUAUCUUACAUAUAGUAAAACAAACAUAUGUAGCCAGGCGUUAGUGGCACACACCUUUAAUCCCAGCACUCGGGAGGCAGAGAGGGUUGCUUUGUGCACCAUGUGUGCAUGUAGCAGGGUAUUGUUUAAGCACAUAGAGCAGGAUAUUGGUAAGGUACAAAGUUCAGGGGGGAGAGGAAUGGGUGGGCUAAUGGCCGUUGUCUAGGUGAUGGUUAGGGCUGGCUGAGUUUGGACAAGCUUUCUGGGUCAUGGCGUUCCUAUGUUCUACCUAUGCUGUUUCUCUUCUGAGUACCCCCAGAAGGUUCCUUUGUUAAGGCUAAAGGCCAAUUGUGUAAAUCUUUAGACUUCAGAAAGUACAGGUUUGGCUCCAAAAGAUCAAGGUAUCUGAGGCGCUCCCAACAAUCCUGUUUGGGGUAAUAUGUGUGCCUCCUUUCCUACAGUGUCACACACAGAAACAUGUCCUAGCAAACCUUCUAGGUUUUGCCAAAUUAUUAAAUAUAAGAUACUGCCUCAUUUUAGUUUGGAUUUAUGUUCAAAAUUUCACCUUUCCUUGUAAAUAAAUAUAUUUAGUUCUUCUUUGAAUACUGCCUUGAGAAAGUGCCUCGGGUUUUUCAAGUUCAUCAAAUUCUGAGAAACAUAACAUGGUUAGUAGCACAGUAAAAAAAGGUGUCAUUUCUCAAGAGGCUCCUGUUCACCUCUUCUGCAUUUCUUCCCCCUUCCAUCCACAUCCAGACGCCCCAAAACCAAAGCCUUGGGAGAAACACUCAGGGACUUUCCAAGAUGUGUCUGGUUAUGCAGGCUCUGAAAAAUUCCCUAGGUAUCAGUAAAACUGUAUUAUAGGUAGUACGUUUUUUGAGACAGGUCUCAUGUAGCCCAAGAUGCCUUUGAACUGUGGCCAGGGAUUAGUUUGAAUUCAUGAUCCUCCUGUUUCUAUAUCCCAAGCCCUGAGAUUAUAAACACAGCUAGACUCAUGUGAUGCUAGUAACUGAAUCCAGGUAAGAGUCUUGUGUGCUAGGUAAGAAUUCUACUCAUUGAGUCGAAUCCUUAGCUGGACCAAGAGGAAUAAAGAUCCCAGACAGUAAGGUGUCAAGUAGGAGGACCAGGGAUGACAAAAGCAAUAGCUGGGAUUAGGUGGUCUUGCAUAAGCUAGUGACUUAUGCCAAACUAGUUUAGUAAGAAGUACAGCAUCAUACUAUUCAAAAGUGGAAUGGGGGAUGGCCAAGGUCAGCAGAGAGCUAAGUCAGGCAAUGUUGGCAAAGAGAACAUUGGAUACCUUGGACACAACUGCCUAAGGAUUGAUAACCACGGCUCAGGGAGAACGUUGGGUCCCCAGAAAUUGCAACUUUGACUCCUUUGAGGAGGCACUGGGUCCAGCCCUAAGCAGCCUUACCAAGUCUACUCCUGGACCAGGACACAGAACUAAAGCUCCCUUUGUCCUUUCAUCAUGGCCUCUGAGAAAGUCUUGGGUUGGUCUACCUUCAACAGCUAGCUGCAAACAAAAAUUUUUUUGGUCAAGGCAAGAAACUAGAAUUUCUUGCAUGUCAAAAAUAAAAGAAUUCUCUUAAAAACAACAACAAAAAAACCCAACAACAACAACAAAAAAACGACUGAAACCUGAAAAGUUUUGUGAACAUAGACGAAUGUCAGAAGCACCAUUUUAAAUGGAUUACACUUUUCAGACAGUCUUGUCCAUUUCUGAUAGGUGUCCCAAAGAAUGAUGCUAUGCCAAAAUUUCUCGGGAACCAGGGAAUAAGCAGUUAUAGCCUAAAGAUUUUACUAUGGCAUUGUUCUCAGAGUUGAGGAAUGAAUUAAAUUAUCCUGCUCUGCUUUGGUGUUCCACUUGAUUCUAAGACUUUGUUGGUCCCUCCUCAAAGGCUGUGUUUCUUUCUGUCCCUCCCUUCUCUCCAGUUCACUAAGUGCAUACAGCCCAGCCCCUGCAAACAAGGUCUGUAGUUGAUGCCAUACACUUACUGACUACACAAGCCAGUGUUCGUUUCCUCCAUUGUCUUCUGUCUUUGCUUCUAGGGAGAUCUGUCUGAUUUCCUCUUUAAGUUUCAGCAAAUACUAAAAUACGUGAAAGUCUCCCUCCCUAAAUGUUUAUAUGAUCUAAUUUUCUAGAUGAAAAGGAAAAUCAUGUUACGUUACAUCAAUGGACUAGAACCUUCCUGUGCAUGGAUUGGAAUGUAAAAUUCCUCUGUAAAAUGUAAAAAAAGAAUUAAAGCAUACAAAAGCAAACAGUGACAACAAAAUGGAUCAAACUAUGUUCUAUGCUUAGCAUGAUGAGAGUGUGUGGAACUUAUAUUUUCCUGUAACGGCACUUUUAAGGUCAAUGGUUUUAAAGAAAUAAAUUCUGUUAAACAGGA